CCUACGGGAGGCAGCAGUGAGGAAUAUUGGUCAAUGGCCGAGAGUCUGAACCAGCCAAGUCGCGUGAGGGAUGAAUGUCCUAUGGGUUGUAAACCUCUUUUGUCAGGGAGCAAAGUCACCCACGUGUGGUGGUUUGCACGUACCUGAAGAACAAGCAUCGGCUAACUCCGUGCCAGCAGCCGCGGUAAUACGGAGGAUGCGAGCGUUAUCCGGAUUUAUUGGGUUUAAAGGGUGCGUAGGCGGGUUAUCAAGUCAGCGGUAAAAGCGUGGAGCUCAACUCCAUCCAGCCGUUGAAACUGAUGAUCUUGAGUGGGCGAGAAGUAUGCGGAAUGCGUGGUGUAGCGGUGAAAUGCAGAGAUAUCGCGCAGAACUCCGAUUGCGAAGGCAGCAUACCGGAGUCAGACUGACGCUGAAGCACGAAAGCGUGGGUAUCGAACAGGAUUAGAUACCCGAGUAGUC
rnacentral:rRNA from 1 species